rnacentral:rRNA from 1 species
CUUACCAUGCAGUCGAACGGCAGCACGGGAGCAAUCCUGGUGGCGAGUGGCGAACGGGUGAGUAAUACAUCGGAACGUGUCCUGGAGUGGGGGAUAGCCCGGCGAAAGCCGGAUUAAUACCGCAUACGCUCUGAGGAGGAAAGGGGGGGAUCUUAGGACCUCUCGCUCAAGGGGCGGCCGAUGGCAGAUUAGCUAGUUGGUGGGGUAAAGGCCUACCAAGGCGACGAUCUGUAGCUGGUCUGAGAGGACGACCAGCCACACUGGGACUGAGACACGGCCCAGACUCCUACGGGAGGCAGCAGUGGGGAAUUUUGGACAAUGGGCGCAAGCCUGAUCCAGCAAUGCCGCGUGUGUGAAGAAGGCCUUCGGGUUGUAAAGCACUUUUGUCCGGAAAGAAAACACGCCUGUUAAUACCGGGUGUGGAUGACGGUACCGGAAGAAUAAGCACCGGCUAACUACGUGCCAGCAGCCGCGGUAAUACGUAGGGUGCAAGCGUUAAUCGGAAUUACUGGGCGUAAAGCGUGCGCAGGCGGUUCGUUAAGACAGAUGUGAAAUCCCCGGGCUUAACCUGGGAACUGCAUUUGUGACUGGCGGACUCGAGUAUGGCAGAGGGGGGUAGAAUUCCACGUGUAGCAGUGAAAUGCGUAGAGAUGUGGAGGAAUACCGAUGGCGAAGGCAGCCCCCUGGGCCAAUACUGACGCUCAUGCACGAAAGCGUGGGGAGCAAACAGGAUUAGAUACCCUGGUAGUCCACGCCCUAAACGAUGUCAACUGGUUGUCGGGUCUUCAUUGACUUGGUAACGAAGCUAACGCGUGAAGUUGACCGCCUGGGGAGUACGGUCGCAAGAUUAAAACUCAGAAG